GUAACAAGGUUUCCGUAGGUGAACCUGCGGAAGGAUCAUUACUGAUUUGCUUAAUUGCACCACAUGUGUUUUUCUUUGAAACAAACUUGCUUUGGCGGUGGGCCCAGCCUGCCGCCAGAGGUCUAAACUUGCAACCAAUUUUUUAUCAACUUGUCACACCAGAUUAUUACUAAUAGUCAAAACUUUCAACAACGGAUCUCUUGGUUCUCGCAUCGAUGAAGAACGCAGCGAAAUGCGAUACGUAAUAUGAAUUGCAGAUAUUCGUGAAUCAUCGAAUUUUUGAACGCACAUUGCGCCCUCUGGUAUUCCGGAGGGCAUGCCUGUUUGAGCGUCGUUUCUCCCUCAAACCGCUGGGUUUGGUGUUGAGCAAUACGACUUGGGUUUGCUUGAAAGACGGUAGUGGUAAGGCGGGAUCGCUUUGACAAUGGCUUAGGUCUAACCAAAAACAUUGCUUGCGGCGGUAACGUCUACCACGUAUAUCUUCAAACUUUGACCUCAAAUCAGGUAGGACUACCCGCUGAACUUAAGCAUAUCAAU
rnacentral:rRNA from 1 species